UACGUAGGGUGCGAGCGUUGUCCGGAUUUAUUGGGCGUAAAGAGCUCGUAGGCGGCUUGUCGCGUCGGAUGUGAAAGCCCGGGGCUUAACUCCGGGUCUGCAUUCGAUACGGGCAGGCUAGAGUGUGGUAGGGGAGAUCGGAAUUCCUGGUGUAGCGGUGAAAUGCGCAGAUAUCAGGAGGAACACCGGUGGCGAAGGCAGCACUCUGGGACGUGACUGACGCUGAGACGCGAAAGCGUGGGGAGCAAACAGG
rnacentral:rRNA from 1 species